GAUGAACGCUGGCGGCGUGCCUAACACAUGCAAGUCGAACGGAAAGGCCCUGCUUUUGUGGGGUUCUCGAGUGGCGAACGGGUGUGUAACACGUGAGUAUCCCGCCCUUGACUUUGUGAUAACUUCAGGAAACUGGGGCUAAUACCGGAUAGGAGCUCCUGCUGCAUGGUGGGCGUUGGAAAGUUUCGGCUGUGGGGGAUCGACUCGCGGCUUAUGAGCUUGUUGGUGGGGUAGUUGCUUACCAAGCCUUAGACGGGUAGCCGGCAUGAGAGGGUGGACGGCGUCCUGAGGACUGAGAGAGGGCGCAGACGGGUACGGGAGGCAGCGGGCGGAAGUAUUGCACAGUGAGGGGGAGCGUGAGGCGGAAGCGCCGGGAGCGGGAAGAAGGCCUACGGGGGAUAAACCGCUUUGGGCUGAGACGUAGCGGGAGUGACGGUAAUGGGUCAAGAAGCAACGGCUAACUACGUG
rnacentral:rRNA from 1 species